UACGUAGGGUGCAAGCGUUGUUCGGAAUCAUUGGGCGUAAAGCGCGUGUAGGCGGUAAGCUAAGUUUGGUGUGAAAGCCCGAGGCUUAACCUCGGAAGGGCACUGGAUACUGGCUUACUAGAGGACGGGAGAGGAUGGUGGAAUUCCUGGUGUAGGGGUGAAAUCCGUAGAUAUCAGGAGGAACAUCUGUAGCGAAGGCGGCCAUCUGGUCCGUUUCUGACGCUGAGACGCGAAAGCGUGGGUAGCAAACAGG
rnacentral:rRNA from 1 species